rnacentral:rRNA from 1 species
CCUAUGGGGGGCAGCAGUGGGGAAUAUUGGACAAUGGGGGGAACCCUGAUCCAGCCAUGCCGCGUGUGUGAAGAAGGCCCUCGGGUUGUAAAGCACUUUCAGUGAGGAAGAACGCCUGGUGGUUAAUACCCAUCAGGAAAGACAUCACUCACAGAAGAAGCACCGGCUAACUCCGUGCCAGCAGCCGCGGUAAUACGGAGGGUGCGAGCGUUAAUCGGAAUUACUGGGCGUAAAGCGCGCGUAGGUGGCUUGAUAAGCCGGUUGUGAAAGCCCCGGGCUCAACCUGGGAACGGCAUCCGGAACUGUCAAGCUAGAGUGCAGGAGAGGAAGGUAGAAUUCCCGGUGUAGCGGUGAAAUGCGUAGAGAUCGGGAGGAAUACCAGUGGCGAAGGCGGCCUUCUGGACUGACACUGACACUGAGGUGCGAAAGCGUGGGUAGCAAACAGGAUUAGAUACCCCUGUAGUC